ensembl:lncRNA
GCCUCUCUCCUCUUCAGCCUGAUGCUUGCAUUUGCUGGGCAGAUGCAGUCAGGCUAGGGUGCCAGUGGGAACAUGACCCACUUCUUCCACAUGGGUGACCUAGGAAUGUUACAGAAGAAUUCAAAGUUAAAAGUCGUUAAUGCGCUCAAACUGGAUUGUUGUCUACAAGACUUGGGAGGAUUUUCCCGACUCAGUGCAGACCCUUCUUUGACUCCUCGGUGUGCUACAGGGCUUUUUCUCUUCAUGAUGUGUGACACACAGGGGCUGGUAUCGCUCAGGAGUUGGACACUUGCUUGGUUUGCUCAGGAUCCUGAGUUCCAUCCCCUGGACUCUCCAAAUGUCCACAGAACAAAAGCAGAGAGAGAUCAAAGAGCCCUCCAUGAGUUCAGCUCUGAAUGGUUGGCAGGAAAGAAG